AACGCACAUUGCGCCCUUUAGUAUUCUGAAGGGCAUGCCUGUUCGAGCGUCAUUAUCAACCCUCAAGCCUGGCUUGCUGUUGGACCUCUUGUCGGUAAAAGACAGGUCUCAAAGAUAAUGACAGUGUCAGUUAGACCCUCGAUGCAACGAGCUUUUAAAGCACGCGUUGAAGUGGACUUAACGGGCCUGGUCUAUAACCAUAUUUUCUUCAAGGUUGACCUCGGAUCAGGUAGGAAUACCCGCUGAACUUAA
rnacentral:misc_RNA from 1 species